CAGUCGCCACGGUAAUACAGAGGGUGCAAGCGUUAAUCGGAAUUACUGGGCGUAAAGCGCGCGUAGGUGGUUUGUUAAGUUGGAUGUGAAAGCCCCGGGCUCAACCUGGGAACUGCAUCCAAAACUGGCAAGCUAGAGUACGGUAGAGGGUGGUGGAAUUUCCUGUGUAGCGGUGAAAUGCGUAGAUAUAGGAAGGAACACCAGUGGCGAAGGCGACCACCUGGACUGAUACUGACACUGAGGUGCGAAAGCGUGGGGAGCAAACAGGAUUAGAUACCCGCGUAGUCCCUGUCUCUUAUAC
rnacentral:rRNA from 1 species